rnacentral:rRNA from 1 species
GACGUAGGGCGCGAGCGUUGUCCGGAUUUAUUGGGCGUAAAGAGCUCGUAGGCGGCUCGUUGCGUCGGCUGUGAAAACCCGCAGCUCAACUGUGGGCUUGCAGCCGAUACGGGCGGGCUGGGAUUCGGUAGGGGAGACUGGAAUUCCUGGUGUAGCGGUGAAAUGCGCAGAUAUCAGGAGGGAACACCGGUGGGCGAAAGGCGGG